GAGGGGUGCAGCACCUUUCCUUGGCGUCUGAAAGGUGGGAGGGGGGCAGCAAGGUGAAUCUACUUUUCAUUAGGGUCAGCUGUUAAAAUGAGCUUUCACCCUGCAGCAGUGGGUGGAGGACACACUGGCACUGCUAUUUGCAUCCCCAGCACUGGUGAUUCCUGCAAGCAACUGAGAAGGAGCAGUGUUAGCACCUCUCCCAUCUCUCUGGACGGCUUUGUGGGCUGUGUGAUGCCGUGAACAAAAUGCUUCUUGAUGCAUUUCUAGAUCAAAUCCCAGUGGGUCUGAUAUCGUGACAUUAAAUAUAGGUGUUGAGAUUCUCCCCUCACACGCCAAGCAGCAGAGACACGCAGACAUCUCAUCACAUCCCAGCUCGCUCGCUGCCCUCAGGGGAUGAAAUCUGCUCCCCUGCCCCAUCUGGUCCCCGGGGAAGAAGGCUGGGCUGGGACGUGCAGAGCACAGGACACGGGGUCCUCCAGCCAAUUGCUGGCAUGGAGUGCAGAGGGUGAGUUGUUCCUUGCACAUUAUUUACCUGAAGCUGUAGCGGAUCUGCUCUUUCCAGUAUAGUCACGCCUUUGGCCUCAGAAUAAAUGCAAAGAUUAAAGAAAAAAUUAGAGGGGGGAAAAAAAAAACAUUUAUGGAAGGGAUAUAUUAUAUGUGCUGGCCAAGAUCUGCUUGGUAUUCAGAACUGGAGGAAAGUAGGAACCUUAAUGUUUACAUUCGUACCAAUUGAGGCUUUAAUUUAGGCAAUAUAAUGCAAUCUAUCUUUCUCUGGAUUUUAAUAGCUUUUCUAUUAUUUUGCUCCACGGAUACUUGGAAAUGGGAGCUCCUUUACUAUGUGACUACUUAGACCAAUAAAAGAGCUGUUUACUUAACACAUUAGUUUGCAGGCACCCUUCUAUGAGUCUGCGUGUGGAGGCUGCCUGCCGUCCAUGGCUGUGUGUAUGAAUAUGCAUAAUUAAUAAAUGUUAUUUGCUGGACGAAUAUUCCUGAGUGUCUCGGCUCUCCUUGACCGAGAAAUGCUGUCUCUCUUAGAUCUAAUGGAAGGUUUGGACUUUUUAAUUUAUUUUCUUAGAUUAGACUCAGAAAAUAACCUUAUUAUUCUAAUAGGUAGAUUAGUCCCUGAGGAAGAUAUGAAUAAAUGGAAAAGUGAUAGGUGAAAAAUAGGCCAGAGCUGCUAUUACAGAAGAGUCUUUCUGACCUUUUAAUUUUUGGUUCAAAACCAUGGGAAAUCAGACUCUGUGAGCAUGCAAAAUGCAGCCAGUCAGCCGUGCUGACCCAGUAGCUGUUUUUCGGUGCGAAAUGAUAGAGUUUCUACCAGAGCAAACAUUUUCUCUGAAAAUACACGUUAACUGCCUGUAUUUUUAAAUCUAUUUCAGAUUGCAUCCAGUCCUUCAGUUCAGUGCAAGGCUCUCACCACGUUCCGGGCUGUACACGCUAGAUGGAGCCACGGAAAAACCAAUGCUGCGAGUGCUGCCCUGCUCCCCAGCCGCUCCCACGCUCUUCCCUUGGAAAACUGGGGGUCUUUCAGCAGCAAAGCCCCAGUGUGGCUGUUUGGGGCUGCUGCAGGAGCAGUUUUGUUGGAAGCGAAGCGUGCCAUUUGACUAUGCUGAUGUUUGUCAGAGUUUUAGCUGGGGAAAAAAGCCUUCUGUUUCCUCAGCAUCAAAAUGUUGCAUUUUGAGCGCGUCCAAGCUCCCUGCUCCUUUUCGAUGUUACCUGUGCUCCUGCUCCACACCAGCAUGCCGUGUGCACACGGGAAGUGCUUUGACGCACCAUAGCACCCUCAGCAAGACAAUCUGAAGGCACCCAGAGCCCUAUUAAAAUGUUCGAGUCUGAUAUUAAAAUGCUGGGACUGAUAUUUUCAGCCUUCCAACCACCUCCCAUGCCCAGAGUUUCCUUGGCUGGACGGUGCUUGUGCGUAAAGGCCAAGGUAUGAUGGCAGCAAUGCAGUCUCCUUUCCCUACUCGCAGGGCGAAUGUGAGGAAGCGGUGAUAAAAUCUCAAUGCACUGAUGGAGCCUUGGGGAGGUUAAACCCUCAGUGCGCUGUGCCAUGUCACAUGGCUGCUCUGAGGGCCCUAUUUCUGUAAUGACUGCUUUCACCAAUGGCUUUGUGGGAAAAGAGCGGGGCUACUACUAGAGCAAGGCUGAAAUCUGUGUAGAGGUAUGAGAACUUAGCCCAUUCUGUUAUUAAUGGUCAUUGCAGUGCCGCAUAUGUGAGGCCUGAAUGAUAACGUUAGCAGGCUGUUUGCUUAGCCGUGUUACGGUACAACGGCAUCUUUGUUGCAGCUUUGAUGAGCUGUCUGUACUGCAGCUCUGUUAAGGGCUGCUUUUUUGUCUGUAAGGAAGCAUCACUUCUGUUAAGGCAGAAAUAUUUCCCUCUGCACGGCAAGAAAAGAAAAGCCGAGCAGUGGUCUUGUCAAGUGCUGUUCCACUGAUAAAACAAAAAAUAGGACAAAAGUUUUCUCCCGUCAAACACAAUUAUUUUCAGAAAAGAGUAGACAUCUCCAAUUUAUUUCCACUUGCCUCCGUGCUUUUUUUUUGUGUGUAUGCCCCCAGCUGUGUAAAUUUUCAGAGGGGCUCCAGGUCUGCCAAUGCGACUCCCCGAAAGACAUGUCACUGGGGAUAAGGAGCUCUAGCAACAGCCUGGGAGAGCAAAGCUGACACCCAGCAUUUUAUUAGUUAAAUAGUGGGGAAGGGUUUCCAGCUUUUCAGCUGCAUGGAGACACAGCAGCUCAUGCUGGGCUCACCUAGCUGGGUAAGCACUGGGCUACAUUUUGGGGACGGAAGUUUGGAGCCCUGACGGUGUGAGCGGUGGCCCUGCUGGAAUGUGUGGCAUUUCGCAGUCUUUCUCACCUCUCCUGUUCUCCCACAGUCAUUUGCAAUUUGCACACCUUUUGUAAAUCAGAAAAAAAAAAUAAUAAUGGCUGACUAAUACUUAAACAAAGCAUUUCUGUAUUCUGAUACAGUGGGGACUAUACAGGCUGGACUGACCAGCCUGGCUCAGGAUCAAAUUUAGAGCAGCCUUUAGUUUCUGACGAAGUGCUUGGACAGGUGAUGCUGGAGGAAGAAACAGAGACCUGUUUGGAAAAGGAUUUCCCUUCAGCAUCAGCCACAUCUUGAGUCCACCAGAGAGCCAGGGAGGUUUAUUUAAGUCAGAGAUGGAGACGAUUCCAACAGGAAUGGAUAUGCACACCAACCACAGCGCCUCCCGGUGCCCUGAUCUGCAGGGAGAGGUUUCCAGGGCAGACAGAGCCAGUUGUGUUCAGAGGCGGUGCUGUGGUUUGGAGGGGCACACCGGGGCUGGUGUUUGUUAGAGAUUCCCUGCACACUGGGCACCAUCGGGAAACAAUUUUUCUCCUCCUUGGAUGUAAUUCAGGCUCUCCAAAGCCCCAACUCAGUGCUGAGAGCCAGAGUUGUUUCCUGUGUUUUGUUCCCCACUACUACAGUGAGUUUAGUUAGAAAAAAAAGGCAGCAGGGCUGGCAGAAGCUGCUUGUUGCAGGAAGACACAGCAACUGAAAGUAGAAACUCUGCUUUUUAUGG